ensembl:lncRNA
CACCUCCCCCCGCUGCGGCGGGGGCAGCCGCUCGGCUAGGCGCUACCUACUGCCCGGCUCUUAAUGCCGAACUGUGUCCCCCCCCCCAAUGCUCCUACUGUGCGCUAUGGUUAGACGACCCCGGCCCUGGGAGCCCCACAUUGCUGCGGGGGGGGGCGGGGGUGGAACGCGGGAUGGCGCCCAGAGAGAGGGAUGGCUGACCUGGAUCGGUCGCAGGGCACGUGAUCUGCGGGGAUGGCUGUAAUUCCCUUGGCAAGUCCUUACUGAUACAGUUAUGUCCUGGUGAGGGGAACCAGAACCACGGAGGAGGAGAAGCUUGUUCAGGUUUGAACACCUGGGGCCCCAGACAGACACUCUACGGAUCUGAAUUCAAGCCGUGGCCGCCCCAUCCUCAGAAAAAGCCAAGGAAGAGGUUGCUGCUGUCUUGGGCAGAAAAAGGCCUUCACAGCGCCCUGCUGACCUACACUUAGCACUCCCCACAGCCUGAAUCCAGAAAGCGGCUGGUUAUUUGGACUGCCACAGCUGUAGAGGCUGCAUAGACACACCUUGAAAAUACAGGGAGCCCCAGUGGACUGCUAGGCUCUCAGAGCCUGGCUAGGACAGAGCCUCUGAUGGGUUAAAGGGGACCAGGACUCUGCCCACCCUCACCCUAGGAACCAGAUGGUCCCUAGGGACCUGCAGACUCUGCCAGCCUGGCCUUGGCACCAGAUCUUCUGGCCAGCCUCCUGAAGUCACUGUUCCUGUGUCUGCACUGACCAGACAGCGAAGCUCUCUUUAGUGACUGCACUUCUCAGCUCACAUCCAUUUUGAAUUGCUAUCAACUUAAUCCUAAGAAUAAUUUAGUUUUUGUGAGAAUUGGGGUUCUCCUGUUACUCCACCUCCCUUUUAUCCCUGUUUCCACAUUUCCUCCUUUCUGUACCUAAAUCAGCUUUGUGUUGUUGAUUUUGAUGCAAGGUUUCUCUGUGUAGCUCUGGCUCUCUGUAGACCAUGCUGGCCUCGAACCCUGAGACCCACCUGCCUCCACCUCCCGAGUGCUGCGAUUAAAGGUGUGUGCCACUCCCCACUGGCUAAAUUAGUUUUUGAAAAAAAAGGUAGAAUUUACCAGUCUUCUCAUAUAAACAGCAAAAACCAAACAGAUCCCUGCAGUCUCGGGCUGGCCGGCUCAACGGCAGUAGACUAUGACCACAAGGGGGCGCACCGAAGUCAACACCAUCUUGGCCCACACAGUAAAGAGAAAUUAUUUGUGUUAGCGGCAGCCACCCAAGAAAGGACAGAAGCUUAAUAGACUUCUUUGAACAGAAAUGUCAGGAAGUGGUGUCCAGCACAGUGGCAGGAAGGAUACCUGGCAGUCCUUUGCUCAGCCCUCCCUCCCUCAUAGAAAGCAGAAGUUAGCAGUAGUGUUUCAGGAUGAUCUUAACCCCCCUCCCCCAGCCUGCAUGUGGUCAGCCGCCAUUACUGUAGUUCCUCAAGCAGAAGACUGGGGGAUCAGAUUAUAUGCCAGCUAUUUUCCUCAACACUGAUUCAGGUACAGAAAAUAGUAAAGUCGCUGAAUCACAAAUGUCUCCCUGUCCUUUCAGGUCAGUACUGGGGGCAAGGACAUGAAUGCCACCACAUAGCUGGGCAGGGCAUGAGAUGGUGAGAAGUGACAGAUGUCACAUGGUCGUGAGUUAAUGAAGUGGACAUCUUCAGAGAGCCUGUAGGAGCCAGGCGCAGCACUCUCAGCUCAAAGAGUCAAACCCGAGAAAAAUGCAAACCCUAACCUCAAGAAGAGUAUGACAGGAGAUAAGUCACAUUACAAACAGCCUGGGGAGCAAUGG